UACGAAGGGGGCUAGCGUUGUUCGGAAUUACUGGGCGUAAAGCGCGCGCAGGCGGUCCUUUAAGUCAGGGGUGAAAGCCCAGAGCUCAACUCUGGAACUGCCUUUGAAACUAGAGGACUUGGGUACGGGAGAGGUGAGUGGAAUUCCGAGUGUAGAGGUGAAAUUCGUAGAUAUUCGGAAGAGCACCAGUGGCGAAGGCGGCUCACUGGCCCGUUACCGACGCUCAGGCGCGACAGCGUGGGGAGCAAACAGG
rnacentral:rRNA from 1 species